rnacentral:rRNA from 1 species
GAUGAACGCUGGCGGCGUGCCUAAUACAUGCAAGUCGAACGCUUCACAUCGGUGAAGAGUGGCGAACGGGUGAGUAAUACAUAAGUAACCUGGCAUCUACAGGGGGAUAACUGAUGGAAACGUCAGCUAAGACCGCAUAGGUGUAGAGAUCGCAUGAACUCUAUAUGAAAAGUGCUACGGGACUGGUAGAUGAUGGACUUAUGGCGCAUUAGCUUGUUGGUAGGGUAACGGCCUACCAAGGCGACGAUGCGUAGCCGACCUGAGAGGGUGACCGGCCACACUGGGACUGAGACACGGCCCAGACUCCUACGGGAGGCAGCAGUAGGGAAUUUUCGGCAAUGGGGGAAACCCUGACCGAGCAACGCCGCGUGAAGGAAGAAGUAAUUCGUUAUGUAAACUUCUGUCAUAGAGGA